rnacentral:rRNA from 1 species
ACGACGUCAAAUCAUCAUGCCCUUUAUGUCCUGGGCUACACACGUACUACAAUGGCCGUUACAACGGGAAGCGAAGGAGCAAUCCGGAGCAAAUCCCUUAAAGGCGGUACCCAGUUCAGAUUUGUGGGCUGAAACUCGCCCACAUGAAGGCGGAAUUGCUAGUAAUUGCAGAUCAGCAUGCUGCCAGUCGAAUACGUUCCCGGGCCCUU